rnacentral:rRNA from 1 species
GGUUGCGAUCAUACCAGCACUAAUGCACCGGAUCCCAUCAGAACUCCGCAGUUAAGCGUGCUUGGGCGAGAGUAGUACUAGGAUGGGUGACCCCCUGGUAAGUCCUCGUGUUGCAACCC